rnacentral:rRNA from 1 species
AUUGAACGCUGGCGGCAGGCCUAACACAUGCAAGUCGAGCGGAUGAAGGGAGCUUGCUCCUGGAUUCAGCGGCGGACGGGUGAGUAAUGCCUAGGAAUCUGCCUUGUAGUUGGGGAUAACGUCCGGAAACGGGCGCUAAUACCGCAUACGUCCUGAGGGAGAAAGUGGGGGAUCUUCGGACCUCACGCUAUCAGAUGAGCCUAGGUCGGAUUAGCUAGUUGGUGGGGUAAAGGCCUACCAAGGCGACGAUCCGUAACUGGUCUGAGAGGAUGAUCAGUCACACUGGAACUGAGACACGGUCCAGACUCCUACGGGAGGCAGCAGUGGGGAAUAUUGGACAAAGGGCGAAAGCCUGAUCCAGCCAUGCCGCGUGUGUGAAGAAGGUCUUCGGAUUGUAAAGCACUUUAAGUUGGGAGGAAGGGCAGUAAGUUAAUACCUUGCUGUUUUGACGGUACCAACAGAAUAAGCACCGGCUAACUUCGUG